rnacentral:rRNA from 1 species
AUUUGAAAUCUCCGUUGCUUGCAACGGCGAAUUGUAGUUUCGAGAAGCACUUUCUCGGCGGAUCGGACUUGCCUAAGUUGCUUGGAACAGCACGUCGCAGAGGGUGACAACCCCGUCUGUGGCGAGUCCGGCCGCUCACGAUGUGCUUUCGAAGAGUCGGGUUGUUUGGGAAUGCAGCCCAAAAUGGGUGGUAAACUCCACCUAAAGCUAAAUAUUGGCGCGAGACCGAUAGCGAACAAGUACCGUGAGGGAAAGAUGAAAAGAACUUUGAAAAGAGAGUUAAAAAGUACGUGAAACCGUCGGAAGGGAAACGAAUGGAGUUAGCAAUGUGCCCCUUGAGAUUCAGCCGGUGCCGGCGUAGGCGCGGCAUUUGCGGAUCCGAACGGACCGCGGUGUUGCGGGCUUCGCUUCUCACCGUCGCACUUCUCUUGGGCGCGCGUCAACAUCGGUUGGUUUUGCACCUGGGUUUGAAAGGUGCCGGGAAGGUAGGUGCGGCCUUCCUUCGGGAAGUUUCGCACUGUUACAGCCCGGUUCUCUCAUGGCUCGGGACCGACCGAGGAGGAAGCUUUUAUCGGCUAUGCAGCGCAUGCCUCUUGUGGCUGGGGUCCCGUCGUUCCGGCCGGUCGUCGACCGUGGUGGACUGCUUGCAGUGCUCCGCGACCGCUGCCGGUUGUUUUGGUGGUGACGUCGCACUAUGCGCUUAGGAUGUUGGCGGUCAUAUGGCUCCAUCCGACCCGUCUUGAAACACGGACCAAGGAGUCUAACAUGUGCGCGAGUCUUAGGGUGCUCGAAACCCCGAGGCGCAAUGAAAGUGAAGGCGGUUUCGGCCGCUGAGGUGAGAACCCGACUACUUUAAACUAGCCGGGCGCAUCAUCGACCGACCUAUUCUACUCUUAGGAAGGUUUGAGUAAGA